GAGUAAUGUCUGGGAAACUGCCCGAUGGAGGGGGAUAACUACUGGAAACGGUAGCUAAUACCGCAUAACGUCGCAAGACCAAAGUGGGGGACCUUCGGGCCUCACACCAUCGGAUGUGCCCAGAUGGGAUUAGCUAGUAGGUGGGGUAAUGGCUCACCUAGGCGACGAUCCCUAGCUGGUCUGAGAGGAUGACCAGCCACACUGGAACUGAGACACGGUCCAGACUCCUACGGGAGGCAGCAGUGGGGAAUAUUGCACAAUGGGCGCAAGCCUGAUGCAGCCAUGCCGCGUGUAUGAAGAAGGCCUUCGGGUUGUAAAGUACUUUCAGCGGGGAGGAAGGCGGUGAAGUUAAUAGCUUCACCGAUUGACGUUACCCGCAGAAGAAGCACCGGCUAACUCCGUGCCAGCAGCCGCGGUAAUACGGAGGGUGCAAGCGUUAAUCGGAAUUACUGGGCGUAAAGCGCACGCAGGCGGUCUGUCAAGUCGGAUGUGAAAUCCCCGGGCUUAACCUGGGAACUGCAUUCGAAACUGGCAGGCUAGAGUCUUGUAGAGGGGGGUAGAAUUCCAGGUGUAGCGGUGAAAUGCGUAGAGAUCUGGAGGAAUACCGGUGGCGAAGGCGGCCCCCUGGACAAAGACUGACGCUCAGGUGCG
rnacentral:rRNA from 1 species